rnacentral:rRNA from 1 species
UUGAACGCUGGCGGCAGGCCUAACACAUGCAAGUCGAACGGUAACAGGAAGAAGCUUGCUUCUUUGCUGACGAGUGGCGGACGGGUGAGUAAUGUCUGGGAAACUGCCUGAUGGAGGGGGAUAACUACUGGAAACGGUAGCUAAUACCGCAUAACGUCGCAAGACCAAAGAGGGGGACCUUCGGGCCUCUUGCCAUCGGAUGUGCCCAGAUGGGAUUAGCUAGUAGGUGGGGUAACGGCUCACCUAGGCGACGAUCCCUAGCUGGUCUGAGAGGAUGACCAGCCACACUGGAACUGAGACACGGUCCAGACUCCUACGGGAGGCAGCAGUGGGGAAUAUUGCAUAAUGGGCGCAAGCCUGAUGCAGCCAUGCCGCGUGUAUGAAGAAGGCCUUCGGGUUGUAAAGUACUUUCAGCGGGGAGGAAGGGAGUAAAGUUAAUACCUUUGCUCAUUGACGUUACCCGCAGAAGAAGCACCGGCUAACUCCGUGCCAGCAGCCGCGGUAAUACGGAGGGUGCAAGCGUUAAUCGGAAUUACUGGGCGUAAAGCGCACGCAGGCGGUUUGUUAAGUCAGAUGUGAAAUCCCCGGGCUCAACCUGGGAACUGCAUCUGAUACUGGCAAGCUUGAGUCUCGUAGAGGGGGGUAGAAUUCCAGGUGUAGCGGUGAAAUGCGUAGAGAUCUGGAGGAAUACCGGUGGCGAAGGCGGCCCCCUGGACGAAGACUGACGCUCAGGUGCGAAAGCGUGGGGAGCAAACAGGAUUAGAUACCCUGGUAGUCCACGCCGUAAACGAUGUCGACUUGGAGGUUGUGCCCUUGAGGCGUGGCUUCCGGAGCUAACGCGUUAAGUCGACCGCCUGGGGAGUACGGCCGCAAGGUUAAAACUCAAAUGAAUUGACGGGGGCCCGCACAAGCGGUGGAGCAUGUGGUUUAAUUCGAUGCAACGCGAAGAACCUUACCUGGUCUUGACAUCCACGGAAGUUUUCAGAGAUGAGAAUGUGCCUUCGGGAACCGUGAGACAGGUGCUGCAUGGCUGUCGUCAGCUCGUGUUGUGAAAUGUUGGGUUAAGUCCCGCAACGAGCGCAACCCUUAUCCUUUGUUGCCAGCGGUCCGGCCGGGAACUCAAAGGAGACUGCCAGUGAUAAACUGGAGGAAGGUGAGGAUGACGUCAAGUCAUCAUGGCCCUUACGACCAGGGCUACACACGUGCUACAAUGGCGCAUACAAAGAGAAGCGACCUCGCGAGAGCAAGCGGACCUCAUAAAGUGCGUCGUAGUCCGGAUUGGAGUCUGCAACUCGACUCCAUGAAGUCGGAAUCGCUAGUAAUCGUGGAUCAGAAUGCCACGGUGAAUACGUUCCCGGGCCUUGUACACACCGCCCGUCACACCAUGGGAGUGGGUUGCAAAAGAAGUAGGUAGCUUAACCUUCGGGAGGGCGCUUACCACUUUGUGAUUCAUGACUGGGGUG